CAAUUUGCAAAUUUGUAAUCACUAGCAGCCAAGAAUAAAUCAUGUCAAACCAGCUUGAUUUCCUUCUUUGACAGGGUAACCUAUUUGGUGGAUGGGGGAAUGUGGUGGACAUAAUAUACCUGGCAUUCAGCUAGGAUUUUGACACAAUCCCACAUGACAUUCUGAUAAGUAAGUUGGAGAAAUCCAGGCUCGACAGAACUAUCAUUAAGUGGAUACAUAAUUGGUUAAACAACAGCAAACAAAGAGUAUUUAUUAAUGGAAUGAUUGGAGAGAGGUCUGAAGAGGGGAUCUGUUCUGGGUCCCGUUUUGUUUAACACCUUUAUUAAUGAUCUGGUUGUAGGUAUAGAGAUCAUACUGAUCAAGUCUGCAGAUGACACAAAGCUCGGGGGAGUUGCCAGAACUUUGGAGGAUAGAGCUAAAAUUCAGAGGGAUCCUGAUACAUUGGAGAACUAGGCUAUAGACAACAAAAUUAAAUUCAACAAAGGCAAAUGUAAGGUGCUACACUUAGGGAAGAAAAAUCAAAUGCACAAAUACAGAAUGGGGGAAAACUGGUAUGGCAGCAACACUGGUGAGAAGGAUUUGGGAGUGGUGGUGGAUCACAGCCACAACGUGAAUCAGCAAUGUGAUGCUGUUGCAAAAAAAGCAAAUGCAAUUUUAGGCUGCAUUAACAGAGGCAUAGCAUGCAAAUCACGGGAGUUGAUAGUACCGCUGUACUUUCGUGCUGCUUAGGCCUCAGCUGGAGUACCAUGUCCAAUUCUGGUCACCAAUGUAUAGAAAGUAUGUAGAGAAACUGGAAAGGAUCCAGAGGCAAGCGACAAAGAUGAUCAAAGGGAUGGAAUGCAAGCCAUACGAGCAACGGCUGAAGGAACUGGGUAUGUUUAGUUUGGAAAGGAGGAGAUUAAGGUGGGUUAUGAUAGCGGUCUUCAGAUACUUGAAAGGCUGCCCCCCCAAAAAGAUGGAGAAAAGUUGUUCUCUUUUGCCAUAGAGGGCAGGACAAGAAGCAAUGGCUUCAAACUACAGCAUAGCAGAUUCAGGUUAAAUCUCAGGAAAAACUUCCUAACUAUAAGAACAGUUGGCCAAUGGAACAGACUGCCUCAGGAGGUCAUGGAAGCUUCUUCACCGGAGGUUUUCAAAAGGAGGCUGGAUAGUCAUCUAUCUUGGAUGGUUUAGACACAACAAAUCCUGCAUCUUGGCAGGGGGUUAGGCUAGAUGACCCUUGUGGUCCCUUCUAAUCCCUAUGGUUCUAUGAUUCUAGAUAGUCUCCAACCAAGAAGAUUAGUCUGCCUCCCUAUGAGAUGCAGGUCAUCCCAUUUGUACAGCCCCUUCUCCUACUGGAAUAUGGCUCAAUGUUCUACAAAACCAAAACCUUCAGCUUCAUACCAUCCACAUAGGCCUGGGUUCACCUCCAAUAUUUUCUGGCUUCUGUAGCAUGUGGAAUCUCUGAGCAAAUUAAUGAUUCCCAGGGGCAACCACAAUACUUGCUUAUAUGGAAAAAUAAAAUUAGUAAAGUUAAUGUGUCUUUAGCUUCUUUUAAGAUGAUUUACCAGCUGGAGACCAGAAGGAGAGGCAAUGUCGUGAGACCAGCCAGCUGUAUGAACCCAUCAGUGCUCUACAGACCACUGUUUGAGAACUGCUAAAAUAGGAAGUGUGAAGAUGUUAAGAGUUUAUGCUACAAGUGAGAGGAAGCCCUGAACCAUGAUGGCCUCAUCUGAUGGAGACUGCAUCGUAAUGAAGGCUGAUUUCCAAUGGCAUUUGGUGAGUGUCCGUAGCUGGGGGAUCCUAGAGAGGUGCCCCCUCAACACCUGCUGAAAGACUGACCUUGAUCAGGAGAAGAAAGACGUGUUUUCAGAGCUUCUCCAGUUCUCAGAGACUGCUGACCUGGAGAAUAGGGCUUGGAGGGAUCUCGUGCUGGAGACAAGGCUGAGUGACCAAGAUUGGAAGGACCACAUGCUUGAGGAAAGGCAGAAGGACUCAGAAGUGCACUGAGAUGUGCAUGACGACAUUAUGUAGCUCCUCAAGCAAUACAAACAGAUUUCGCAUAGUAUUAUGGAGCAAAGUGCCCUAAAGCUCUUCCCAGCAGCCAUUGCGCUCCAUUGACCAUUCAGUGUUCACAGGAAUGUACAGCACCCCUUUUCCCCAGCAAGGUGUAAGUAUAGUCUUCGAUCUUAUCCUUACCACCCCACGCCAGUGAAAAACAAGGAGAACGGUUAUGACUAAGCAUUCACUGACCUGUGAUUUAUGCAAGAUCAAUCAGCAAGUACAUUGCUCUUUGUUUUUGUUUUUUUUUAAAUAAGUAUAGGGAAGGUUUAAUAAAUGCUGAUAAGUCUCAGUUUGUGGGUAAUUAGUUUGUUUUUCAUUACCACUCAAUACAAUUUUUUUUAAAAAAAAUCAAGAUCUAUUUACUGGGUCUAACAAAACAGAAAUGUAGCAGCCCAAAUCAUCACUCCUCCCACCAAAUUCAUAAAAGGAGCUAAAAUCCAUAUUCAAGUCAAGUUCCCAAAGAAGUACCUAAAAGCAAGAUACUGCACUAUUAUGGCACAGUGUUAAAGUAGUCCUUUUAAGCCUUUCUUCGCUCCUGGAUGGGCUCCUGUGAUUGCCUUUGUGUCUGGCUGUUCGAAAGCAGCAGACAGUCUGACUACUUCACCUCUUCACUCUGCCAGGAACAUUUUCCCCUUUGCUUCAGAAAUAUGAUGAAAACACAGUAGCAACAGGAAUAUUUACCUCGCUGAGAUCUAUCCUAGUCCUGAAGCAUUGCCAGCAUCCUUUCAGUUACCAAAUGCAUACAGCAGUCAUUCUGCGCCUACUCAGGCUGUAGUUAAAUCUUUUCUUGCUGGUGUCUACGCUACGGUUUCAUGAACCAGGAAAACAAAGGAAAGACUGAGACCCCCAGAAUCUUUAUUGGCAUUUUAAUGCCAUCAAUGUGAAUGUGCCAGUCUAGGAAAAACGUUCCAUUGUCUCUUUUGGACAAGUCCAAUAUUCCUAAGAGGCGACCAUCAUGUACCUCUGAGCACCCAAUGUUAAUUUCAGUGAAACGUUCCUGGUGAUCCACCAGUACAUGCCUAACUAUGGAGAAGUCAAGGGGUGCUGGAUCAAUUUAGGCUGUACCACCACAUAAAUGUU